UACGGAGGGUGCAAACGUUGCUCGGAAUCAUUGGGCGUAAAGCGCACGUAGGCGGCCGUUUAAGUCGGGUGUGAAAGCCCUGGGCUCAACCCAGGAAGUGCACUCGAAACUGGACGGCUUGAAUAUGGAAGAGGGUUGCGGAAUUCCCGGUGUAGAGGUGAAAUUCGUAGAUAUCGGGAGGAACACCAGUGGCGAAGGCGGCAACCUGGGCCAAUAUUGACGCUGAGGUGCGAAAGCGUGGGGAGCAAACAGG
rnacentral:rRNA from 1 species